rnacentral:rRNA from 1 species
CCUACGGGUGGCAGCAGUGGGGGAUAUUGCACAAUGGGGGGAACCCUGAUGCAGCGACGCCGCGUGGGUGAAGGAGUGCUUCGGCAUGUAAAGCCCUAUCGGCAGGGAAGAAGCAAGACGGUACCUGACUAAGAAGCCCUGGCUAACUACGGGCCAGCAGCCGCGGUAAUACGUAGGGGGCGAGCGUUAUCCGGAUUCACUGGGUGUAAAGGGAGCGUAGACGGCCAUGCAAGCCAGGGGUGAAAGCCCGGGGCCCAACCCCGGAACUGCCCUUGGAACUGUGCGGCUAGAGUGCGGGAGGGGCAGGAGGAAUGCCUGGUGUAGCGGUGAAAUGCGUAGAUAUCAGGAGGAACACCGGCGGCGAAGGCGGCCUGCUGGACCGCGACUGACGUUGAGGCUCGAAAGCGUGGGGAGCGAACAGGAUUAGAUACCCUUGUAGUC